UAAGGCACGCGGUGAAUGCCU
rnacentral:ncRNA from 2 species